rnacentral:lncRNA from 1 species
AUGUGGUUAAAUCAAGAUUUCACUUGCACGUUCACUCAUAUGUGCUACUUCUACUCCGGAAGUACCAUCCACAUAUAUCCACCCAUUCCAUCUCCAGAAUCACCCAAAAAUAUUCUGCUCCUAAUCCGGAAGAGAAUAACCAAAAAUAUUUCUGUUUUCCCCUUGUGAAAUAAAUGCUCAAGUUAUCUUGUUACUACCACUUGUUAUAUUAUCUCAAGAGAUGAAUGCUCUAAAAAAAGAGAUACGAGGAAAUAAAAAGGAGCAAGUGCUCGGAACCUCGAAAGAAAAGAAAGAGUGAGACGAGAGGUAAAAAUGGACAAGUGUCCGACAGUAGAAUUAGGGGUGCAAGAUACCCACCUGAGAGAAAAGAAAAAGAAGAGCAUCUCAUUCUCCUCAUAAAGUUUCAAAGGCAAGGAAGGUAUGUAUCCCCUCAAAAGAGCAAAGUAGAAUUAGACUUCCACCACCAUUGUUUUCACCAUUGUUAUCACCAGCAUCACCAUACACCAUUCAUUCGCCACACAUGCACAUCUUGAUUUGGCUUAUUGACUUGUUACUUUGGAUCCAUGGUUUGACUAUGCAAUAAAUGUCUUGUAAGUAUGUAUACUUUAUCUCCCACCUAUAAGCUCCAGAUAUUAAAGCCUUAUUAGAGUAGGGUGAGAGAGAAGGCAAUGUCACUAUGCCUUAUACCACAAAUACUACAUAUCUUGAGAGAAGGCAUAUACCAUCAAUGCCUUGGUAAGGAUCCAAAAAUACCACAAAAGAGAGACC